rnacentral:tRNA from 4 species
GCGGAUGUGGCGGAACGGUAGACGCGCUAGAUUCAGGUUCUAGUGAGAGCAAUCUUGUGUGAGUUCAAAUCUCAUCAUCCGCA